AGUACAGCUGAGCUCAUCCUCCUUACUGGAAAAUCGCCAGUGAAGAAAUACCUGAAUUGCCAUGUGCACAUUUCUCAAGAGAACGCGGGCAGUCAGAGUAGCAUGAGUUGCUGAUGAUGUGAAAGCAUGUGGACUUACCUGCAAACUGUUGCUGGCUGCACAGAACUCUUCCAGCCUGCACAGAAGUGUGCGUCAGGUUCGCAAACUGCACAAGUAAACACGUCUCAAAGGACAUAAUACAACCGCAGCCGGUUCGAGCACCGAGAAAUUCUAAAUAACAAAAUCAAUUUACUGAACUUCCCGGGUUGCCUCCCAGAACUCUGGUGUCAUUCUGCUGUGUUGCGAAUGGAUUGAAGAAAGACAAGAAUGAACUUGGAACAACUAAUUAUGGGAAUAUUUUAGUCAUCCAGAUGGUUAUUCUGAUUGUGGUGGCAGCAAGGAUGGAAAAAAGGUAAUAAAACCAAGAUACAUUCUUUGAGAUUGAAAUAACAGGAC
rnacentral:lncRNA from 1 species